UCGGCAUUAUCCGAAAAGCCGUAAAGAGAGUAGGAG
rnacentral:ncRNA from 1 species